rnacentral:rRNA from 1 species
UACGAAGGGGGCUAGCGUUGCUCGGAAUCACUGGGCGUAAAGCGCACGUAGGCGGCUUUCUAAGUCAGGGGUGAAAUCCUGGAGCUCAACUCCAGAACUGCCUUUGAUACUGAAGAUCUUGAGUUCGGGAGAGGUGAGUGGAACUGCGAGUGUAGAGGUGAAAUUCGUAGAUAUUCGCAAGAACACCAGUGGCGAAGGCGGCUCACUGGGUCAUUACUGACGCUGAGGCACGAAAGCGUGGGGAGCAAACAGGG